GAGAUAUCCUCCGUCCAAAAAAAAUGACACAAGUUUGUCAAAAUUUGAAUGUAUCUAGACAUGAGUUAGUGUAUAAAUGCAUUCAAAUUUAGUCAAAGUUGAGACAUCAUUUGUUGGACGGAGGAAGUAUGAU
rnacentral:pre_miRNA from 1 species